GUGGGGAAUAUUGGACAAUGGGGGGAACCCUGAUCCAGCCAUGCCGCGUGUGUGAAGAAGGCCUUUUGGUUGUAAAGCACUUUAAGUGGGGAGGAGGCUUACCUGGUUAAUACCUGGGCUAAGUGGACGUUACCCACAGAAUAAGCACCGGCUAACUCUGUGCCAGCAGCCGCGGUAAUACAGAGGGUGCAAGCGUUAAUCGGAUUUACUGGGCGUAAAGCGCGCGUAGGUGGCCAAUUAAGUCAAAUGUGAAAUCCCCGAGCUUAACUUGGGAAUUGCAUUCGAUACUGGUUGGCUAGAGUAUGGGAGAGGAUGGUAGAAUUCCAGGUGUAGCGGUGAAAUGCGUAGAGAUCUGGAGGAAUACCGAUGGCGAAGGCAGCCAUCUGGCCUAAUACUGACACUGAGGUGCGAAAGCAUGGGGAGCAAACAGGAUUAGAUACCCUAGUAGUCC
rnacentral:rRNA from 1 species